rnacentral:lncRNA from 1 species
CCGGCAUCUGCGGUGAUGAGUUGGCUAUCUGCAGAAACAUGCGCAGAGGUUUCCACUGCGAGUGCCCAGACGGUUACUUACCUUCACCUGGUAUAAACUGGAGAAUCAACUUCACCGUCUGUAAAGAGCUGGACUCGAUAUUACCUGCCAGGAACAAGACUGUCUCCCUACUGCUGGAUGAGUUGGCAGAUGAUGACCGCAGGCGCCCGGUUCGCCACAGACACGCGGUGCUCCUGUCUAAGAGGAAGCUGAUAUCCAAACUG